rnacentral:lncRNA from 1 species
AUUUUGAGGGUGGUUGGAGGUGGAAACAAACGAACACGCAAAUUCAUGAUGCUUCUUUCACUUUUCACUGUUUAGGAAGUUUAAAUAAGGGAGGAAGAGAUAAAAACCCUUGAAAAGAAACACAAACUCGUGGUUAAUCUAACAUCGUGUUACUGAAGAAACAAAAUACUAAAACAUUCCGCGUGCGAGCAGCUCGCAUUACAUGAUAGCGGCAAAAGACACUAGCAUACUGAAUAAGAACGCCACGAUACAGCAUCAACGAACGUUGACGAGCGAUGCCGAAUCGACCCGACGAUCACCGACUGUCUUCGACUAUUUGUGUAAAUUAAAAAAAUUCUAACAACUUCAGUUUUGUGCUUUACGGAGAUUCCAAAUGGACCGAAUUUUGUCGAUAAGAUCGAGAUGAUCUUUUUAGAGGAAUACAAUUUACACAUGGCUGUUUAUCUAGAAAAUGAUAAUAUUAAAAAAUUAUACAAUUGCUUACGUAUUAUACUUAGUUAUACAAGGCUGGAUAUAUGUAAAUAAUUCAUACAACAACCGUAUGCAAACCACAUUUUCAUUUGCUAUACUAUUAAAGAAUAACGUAUCGAUUGAAAUAGAGGAAUAUUACAAAGCACGUAUGCAUGGAAAUAACGGAUUAAGGAAGCAUUUAUGUAGAUUCUCAAGAUUAGACACACUUUGUAUCUGAUGAUUAUACCGGAUUACUGUUCGUGACGUUACGAAUGAAUCGAUGUAAUAAAAACGUCAAAAUCGUUAGUAGCACAUUCAGUUGCAGCACGAAAGAAUCACGAACAGGCUAUUGUAACAAUGCCUCGAACAACUUCCUGUUUAAUUUUUUUUACGUUUGUUCUGAGAAUAACGUGGCUGCGAAAUAUCGACAAGUGUGCAACUGCACGUGUGCGCAGUAUAAUGGGUCAAAAUAUAAACUGAUGUUCGUUUUAUGCCGAAAUAAAUUUACCGGCUUUCUAAUGACAGGUUGUGAAUAUUUUAAAGCAUGGAAGGUUCUCUUUUGUUGUUAUGCACACUGGUUCGUUGGAGGAGACGGGAAAAUUACAAAAGGUACAUUACGAAACGUAAGGUUGUCACAGGAAUUAUUGCCAGGGUGAAUGGGGACGCAAAGUGGUUGGCCAUGAUUGAAAAAUCCUCCGGCAGUCAACGCGUGAAUUUUGUGUCUUUUUUCGCUCGUACGAUACAAUUUAUAGCUGCGCAAAUAAAUCGAACAAGUGGAAUAAUAUUUUUCGAUAUUGUUUGCUUUAAAAAAGUGAAUUUUGAGAACCAACAGAAUUAUACCGUCUCUAUAGUUUACAACUGAAAAUGCGCCUCAAACCAAAACGAUUUUCUUACAGCUCCUUUGAAGUUUGAUAAACAAACAGAUUUUAUGCAGAGAUGUUUAUGAACUUAUGGAGAUUUUAUGCAGGAUAAAGAAAAAUGUUUUCCAGGUUAUGUAAAAAAGGAAGAAUAACUGAAAUAUGAAAAAGGAAUUCGUGCAUGGUAUUCUAUGGAUCCAAACGUUAAUCAUGCAAUCUGAUCAACUGUCUUCUCUGCGCAGUUCUAAGAAAACAUGCAACUAAUAGGCCUCCUACGAAACACGCAAUUAUUACCAACGUUAAACAAGUGGAUACGAACUAUAGAUAUGAUACUUCUCCUUGUACAUGUACAGCAAACAAUUAACCAUCACGUGGACUAUUAUCGCCUCAACAGUUCUAAUUUGUUAUAGUUGUUGAUACAUAAAAUUUCUGUUAUACAAGUGCAUGGAAACGUCCAAGAAUCGAGUGACAAACAUUAUGGGAAAGUUCAAUGCUUUCAAUGAUUCACUUUAGGAUCUAAAGUUUCUAGAGAUAAUUAGUUGAAAACGUUGAUUGAACAAAUAGAAGCUAGAAGCGUGAAGAUUAAUCGCCGUAAAUUGUAUCGAGCCGUUAAGCCUAUUACCUCCGGGCAUUGUUGUCCUAGAAUCUCUAUUAGGUUUACUAUUUGUUCGCUACUUGCCAUUUCGUUUAACACUUUGACUGUUGGCGAUUUUAAUAAAGUAUUUAUUUAUGCUUACGUUAUUCAAAAGUUACAACUUCAAGCCUUAGGCAUACAGUAGAUUCUCGUUAUAUUAACACCAAAGAAAACUGUAUUUAGCAAAACUUCUUAUAAUUAUAAUAAAACGAAAAUCGACUGUAUCGUACGGUCAUGUAUAUAACAAAUUAAUAAUGGCUAAUAUUGCAAACACAAUCAACGUGUUAACAGUUGUGAAUUUUUAUGUCACCGUUAGCAUGCUUGUUUCGCAUCAUCGAGAUUGAUAGAAUUGAGAAUAUCGGAUGUUCUUAUUAUCAGAAUCUGCGCACUCGUAACCAGCUAUUCAGUGUAUCCUGUUAUUAUUCCAGAAUUAUUCUUGAUGAAACGUGCAUAUGCUUUUCUGCACAAUUACUGUGUUUCACAACUGCUUUACAAAAUGUUGCACGACAACAGGAAUUUAACGAAGAAGAGAGGAUGUGCAAGAACUUAUAAAAAGAAAUAUAAAAGGUGAUCUAUACGACACACACGCGAUUCUGUUUUAUAACACGAGAAGAGGGAAAAACUUCUCAUCAAUUGCGUUUCAAAGAGUACGAACGUUCGACGAUCAAAGAAUUUAUUUUACACAGAGGUUUUAUUAUAGUACGAAGAUUUCACAUCCGAUAACAUCUGAGAUCAAAAAGAAGCAGGAAACUCGAGUCAAUCGAACAAGCUCCAUUCAUGUUUUCUUACUACGCUCGGCGGCGGCCUUCCAUGUUUCCGGGGGGCAUAUCGACGGGUCACAUCAAGACGAAUUCACCAUCCCGAAAAGGAAAAGAGGAAAAUUUCGUUCCGCUUAAUUAUACAAAAACUUGGUGGUACGUCAACUUUCUUCCGUCGUUGAUAAAUCGGCGAUACAGUUUUCCUCGCAAAAAUUCACGGCUAACGAAACCGAAGCGUGUGGUCAAAAAUUCUUGCUUCUUGGCACCGACAAUGACAACAACACGAGAAAACUGGACGCGCGUGCGGCGCCGCGAGCCUAUCAACGUUCCUUCUCACAAAUGAUAUUUAUUGUCCUCGAUUUAGAUACGAUUCCCCUCUGUUCAUCAGCAGACGCGGGCACACCCUUCCGCAGAGAUAAACGCAGAAAUUUAUGAAGACGGUAGUAUAACAAGAGCUCAAUAUUACGCUUUAUUGUGCUUGACUGGCUACGGCGCAACGUGGAGUGGUGUCCCGUUCGAGAGGGGUCAGGAGAAAGGAGCUUAGGAACCAACCAUGCUUUCUUAUACCUUCCACAUUUCCUCCAGAUCAGUGUUUCAAAAUGGUGAUUUUCCCGAACCCCACACUUUCCUCAUUGGGAAGUUUUAUAUUGACGAGUGGCGUCAUGUAUUCGUGACCGUAAUGCUCAAUUCUGUAUUUCAUUGUUCUUUAUUUUAUUGAUAUUUAUUUUAGUAGUAUUACAGAUAAGCUCUUAAAUAUAAUCUUCUUUCAGAUGUUAAAAAAAAUUUACAGUUACAAGAUUCGGAUUCGGAAUGUAAAACCAUCAAAGUGUUAACAUGUUGACUGCCACGGUUAUAGGUAACAGAUGUUACAAGGUUAUUUUUUAAGUACAGUAGACUCUCGUUAUAUUGUCACUUUGAUAAGAACUUUCGUACACAGCGCGUUCUCCUACCAUGCACUUUGAGAUCCACGGACAGCGUCAUGGCAUCAAAAGUCAUUGGCAUUCAUUCCUGAUCGAUAAAUGUGAUAUAAAAUUAUCGGUAAUUAACAGUAGUAUAUCGGUAAUAUACCAGUGAUCGAUACUGAAUGUACUGCAAAAUCAAUAACGCAUCGAUAAUGUACCGAUAAUCGAUAGCAGUUAAUAAGACAGCAAGUUAUCCAUUAUAUUGCCAUACGUUAUAUUACACCUUUAAUCUCACAUACUGUCAUUGCCAAGAUUGUUACAGCACCACCUGUGACAAUAUAACGUGUACUGUAAAUACAUAUCUUUAAAUAAGUACAAUAAACAGGUAACUUGUAGU